rnacentral:rRNA from 1 species
AGAGUUGAUCCUGGCUCAGGAUGAACGCUAGCUACAGGCCUAACACAUGCAAGUCGAGGGUAGCGUGAGGAAGCUGCUCCCUGACGACAACCGGCGAAUGGGUGAGUCACGCGUGUCCAACCUGCCCCGUGCCCGGGGAUAGCCCUUGGAAAUGAGGAUUAAGACCCGAUAUGUGGCGCUUCCGCAUGGCGGCGCCAUGAAGCAGGCACGGGAUGGGGACGCGUCGGAUUAGCUUGACGGCGGGGCAACGGCCCACCGUGGCGACGAUCCGCAGGGGUUCUGAGAGGAAGGUCCCCCACACUGGCACUGAGACACGGGCCAGACUCCUACGGGAGGCAGCAGUGAGGAAUAUUGGUCAAUGGGCGGGAGCCUGAACCAGCCCAAGUAGCGUGCAGGACGACGGCCCUACGGGUUGUAAACUGCUUUUCCGGGAGGAUAAAGUGAGCCACGCGUGGUUCAUUGCAGGUAUCCCGGGAAUAAGGACCGGCUAAUUCCGUGCCAGCCGCGGC